rnacentral:rRNA from 1 species
CAGUAGCCGCGGGAAUACGAAGGGUGCAAGCGUUAAUCGGAAUUACUGGGCGUAAAGCGUGCGUAGGCGGUGAGUUAAGUCUGCUGUGAAAUCCCCGGGCUCAACCUGGGAAUGGCAGUGGAUACUGGCUCGCUAGAGUGUGUCAGAGGAUGGUGGAAUUCCGCGUGUAGCAGUGAAAUGCGUAGAUAUGCGGAGGAACACCGAUGGCGAAGGCAGCCCCCUGGGCCAACACUGACGCUCAUGCACGAAAGCGUGGGGAGCAAACAGGAUUAGAUACCCCAGUAGUCCCUGUCUCUUAUAC